rnacentral:tRNA from 1 species
AAAACUUUAAGUUAUAAUUAAACUAUUAAUUUUCAAAAUUAAUCAAAAAGAAUAAAUUUUUCUUUAAGUUUUA